rnacentral:rRNA from 1 species
AUGGGAAAUGGCUCAGGUGCUGCUGUUCUGGGAGUAGGGAAGGUUGACCUGAAGUUUACAUCAGGAAAAAUCAUUACCUUAAAGAAUGUGCAGUACGUGCCCUCAAUAAAUAGGAACCUGAUUAGUGGCUCUCUUUUAUGCCGAGAUGGCUUCAAAUUAGUUUUUGAGUCGAAUAAAGUUGUUAUUUCCAAAUUUGGUUUAUUUAUAGGGAAAGGCUAUGAGUGUGGAGGCUUGUUCCGCACAUCUUUGUUGGAUGCUGAGAAUAAAUUUGUUCACAACACUAUUAGUGUUCUUAAUUCAAAUAAAGAUGCAUCCAUU